ACAAGGGUAUUGUAUAUUUUAUUAUGUUUGUAACAGAAACAAAAUCAAAACCAAAAGCAGGUGAUAAAAUAAUGAGUUGAAUUUGUAGUGCUAAAGUCUCAGCCAGACUGAUGGAUUUGAUUCAUGGCUGUUCAUAGCUACUUCAUACAAGAGACUUUCAUUUCUCUCCGUAGGUAGGCCAGUAUUUUCAGCCUGCUGAAACCAAAACUUGUCACGCUGUGGAGUUAACUGAGAAUAAGAAACAUUCCUGUAGCCCAGAUCAAAACAGAACCAACUCGUUAAACUAACUUUAACGGCAGCACAAGCUCACCUGUUGGACUCAGUACAGAUAUAGGUAUUGAUCUCAUCCACCGCUAUGCUUCUGCUGAAGGCAAGUCACCUCCUGGAAAGGCAGAGCAGGGAUAGAUGGCAGCAACUUCUUAGACUAUAUCUGCAAGCUGGCUCAUUAGAGCUGGAUGUCAGGGAGGUCUGAUGUAAUGGGUCAUGUCUAACCGUAGGCUGCUUUCUGAAGACGUUUUUAAGGACAAAUCAACUGCAAUAAGAGAAUGCUGACAUUCAGGCUGCCUCAGCUGCCGAUGACAGAGAAGGUGUUAGUGGCACUUGGGUUUUAUUCCAGACCUGUCCUCCUAUAAACAAUUACAAGGGAUGAAAUCAUUUUUGGAAAGAUGAGCGAUUAUUUCCCUGUCAGCUCUGCCCUGUCAGCAUCAAGGAGAGUGUGAUAUAUACCUGCUCUGCUCUUCUCCACUUCCUGGCCCCAAAUCAUUCUCGGUGUGGACACAGAGUGAUGCUUCUGGAAAGGAACAAUAAAGAAUUAUUCAAAUGUAUAUAGAACAUGGGGGAAAGGAGAAAGCAAAUGAACACAUGAAGUCAUUCUCCUAAUGUCAUCAGUCUAGAUAGGAAUAUUUUCUUGUACCUGUUUCAUGAAAUACACUCUUCAUACCAUUAAAACUUUAUCAUCUGUUCUUUAAAGGAGUUAAUCCUAUAACAGAAAUCUCUGUUCUAAACGUUAGGAUAUUGUAUAAAUAUACGCUUCUGAAUUAGCCUCCCUUCUCAUUCAAGAUCUCACUACAUUAGGUUAAAAAUACUUUAAAAUUAGUGUGCUUUUUCUUGUUGUUUGUUUCUGAGCCCUCAGUGUAAAGUCAGAACUCUUUGGGUUUUUUCUCUCCCUCCUUGGGGGUUAUUUGUUUUGUGAAUGCUGAGAUGUGUAAGUACACACAAAUCUGGAAAGCUUUACAAAAUACCACAUAUCAAGAGAAUCAUAGAAUUGGGCUGGAAAGGACCUUAAGAUCAUCCAGUUCCAACCCCCUGCCGUGGGCAGGGACACCUCACACUAGACCAUGUCGCCCAAGGCUCUGUCCAACCUGGCCUUGAACACUGUCAGGGAUGGUGCAUUUACCACUUCUCUGGGCAACCAAACUGGUAUCACGACUGGAGUAGGGGAAAGCAUCAGGUUUUAAUGCAAAACCUGUAAGAAAUGAAAGAGACUUAACAGAUGAAAGAGCAGGGUAAUGAGAGCAUUUGGUUCUCUGACAGAAGGCCCUACAGGAGGAACACCAAGGUGCUCUCCAGAGCACCCACACAGAGGACUGGAAAACUGACCUAUUUACCCUUUUUUCAUUGGGACCAGCAAGAAUAUUCCUGCAAGGAUAAUCAGCCCCUUAUCCAUUAGCCUUACUUAUUGUUGCUGUUAUUCUUGCUAUAACCUACUUAAUACAGUGACAUCACUACAGUUCAGGAAUUAAAAUGUUGAUGCCUUCUCCCCAUAGUUGGCCUUGGAAACUGGUCUGACUCCCUUGGAGACUGGUCUGAAUCCCUGAAAUCUGAAGCCUCUGCUGCUUGAGCUGGGGAAUAGCAUUUAUCUGGCAGCAAGAGGAGACUUUUGUCCUUUCACAUAGCCUGUGAAAAAACACUUAGUACUUCCCACGUACUCAGCAUGGUAAAAUGGAAGUUGUCAAAGAUAAGUCUUUUUUAUUUGCUAUCUGUGGAUAUUCCUGUAAGCUUUUAGUCUUUUUCCAUAUGAGCAAUUCUUCAGAGCAGACGAUCCAGGAAUAUUUCCAUGGACAGCUUGAAA
ensembl:lncRNA